CAAGAAUAGACCGGACUCACUGCUGCUAAUGCUGUACCCUUCCUCAGAAGCUGGCUAAUGACUGUAAACACAUUUGAACACAGAUGGAUUCUGAGAAAACAUCCUCUGCAGGCUGCCAACUGACAAGGGGCUGACACCAAGAUUCUGGUGGAUCUGUGAUGGGAGAACUGCCAGUCAGCAUGUGGGGAUUCCACAGCUAUUAAACCCUGCAUCAGCCGUCUCUACUCUGCCAUGUCUAUACGUAGCCUGUGUGAUCUCCUCAGCAAGACAUACUACCAUCUUCUCAAGGCAAGAAGUCCCUGCUGAAAUGCCCUCCACCAUGUCUCAUGCCCUGCCUCCUGUUGUCAAAAUGAGAGUUGCAUUAAUGCUCAGAGUUUCAUUAAUGCUAACAGUUGCAAUAAGUCAUUAUAAUCUUUAGUUGGAUCCAUUCCUUGUCAUAGGUUGAAACGAAGGCUGUGGACAUAUGUCAAGCAUGUCGAGCCAGAAGUGGUUUACUUUACAGAGUUCCUGGGCUCAGACCACUUAUACACAGGGGCCUGGGCAAGUUUUCCCACAAUACACUGCAAAACAAUGAAUAGAACAGCAUAGCUUAGUUCAGUGUAAAGAACCAUGGAAGUCCUAGCACCUCACACAGGCAAGUAUGACACCCAGUAAGGAUGCAGUAACCCAAGUAGAGCUUUGCAGUCUGGCUAGACCAACCUCGGAGCUCAGAACUCUAGUGAAGAUUUGAGCCAGAUGUUUCUAAACCCCAUGUGGAGUUGCUGAACUAUAACAGUUAGUAAUUCUAGCAGCUAUCUAGUAUUCAGAUCAACAGAAAAGAAAGAGAAAUAUGGAAUGCAGAAAAUUAAAAGUCAUAAUAUCUUUGGCACUUUUCCUAUCACUUUCUUUAAUAAUCAGCAAAUGAAAAGACAAAAACCCAGUAUUUAAUAAAGAAAAAAGACAACAGCUGCUUAUAAGAGUCCAGCUGUGGAGGCUUGGUUAUGCUUUCAGGCACGUUUUGUGCAAAGUAAGUGAAACUGAAAGCUCAUAAUAAAAAAACCCAGUGAUCUGCAAGGUUUCAUAGCUUGUUUUGCAGUUCAGAGGAGGCUUGCUAAGGCUACAUUUGGCCCUGGCACAGACGAGAAACCAAAGUGAAAGCAGGGGAAAAUUUGCUUACAGAGUACAGAUUUCAUUGUCUGAGGCAAAGCUGCCCUUGAUUUGCUUCAAUCAUUGUAACAAUCAGUCCAGCCAACUGUUUACAUGCUCUCCAUUGUGUUAGCGUUGGCUUGGAAAUGGCAGACUCAAUGAGAUUUUUUUUCUGUCUGCAUGCCGGGGAAUAGUGGGAGUUCACACACUUGACAGACAGACAGGCAGACUGGCCUUCUCUUUCCAAGAAACAAGAGAGUGGUUUGCUUGUCAAGCUAUUAUACUGUGGCACAGAACCCAGGAGCAUAUGUGGCUUAAACCAUGUCACACUGCACUGUUCAGAUCCCAGAAGAGAACGGGAAAUUGGUAGGGAUUUGAGGGAAGAGAUGGUGCCAGGAAUUUAGUUCAUUGCAGAGUUUGAAAUAUUUAGCCCACUGCUACCCACUUGUGUCUCAAUGAUCCUUAAGUAGCCUUUCUUGACACUCAAAU